rnacentral:rRNA from 1 species
UACAGAGGUCCCAAGCGUUGUUCGGAUUCACUGGGCGGAAGGGGUGCGUAGGCGGUCGGGUAAGUCUGAUGUGAAAUCUCACAGCUUAACUGUGAAACUGCAUUGGAUACUAUCCGGCUAGAAGAAUGGAGGGGAGACUGGAAUACUUGGUGUAGCAGUGAAAUGCGUAGAUAUCAAGUGGAACACCAGUGGCGAAGGCGAGUCUCUGGACAUUUCCUGACGCUGAGGCACGAAAGCCAGGGGAGCAAACGGG